rnacentral:lncRNA from 1 species
CUCGAUAUGUCCGAUUUUAAAAUAGCUUUUCGGUGAAAGCACAUUUUGCAAUAUUCUGAGUAGAUAGCCCGGCAUCACAGGGCUAGCUAUUUAGACACCCAGCAAGUUUAGCACUCACCAAAGUCAGAUUUACUAUAAGAAAAAUGUUAUUACCUUUGGUGUUCUUCGUCAGAAUGCACUCCCAGGACACUAUCCAAAUAGUGGCGUUUUGUUCGUGCGUUCAAUACACUAUCCGAAAGGGUAAAUAAGGGUUACGCGCACGACGCAUUUCGUGACAAAAAAAUUCGAAAUAUUCCAUUACCGUACUUCGAAGCAUGUCAACCGAUGUUUAAAAUCAAUUUUUAUGCCAUUUUUCUCGUAAAAAAGCGAUAAUAUUCCGACCGGGAAUCUGUGUUUAGGUUCAGAGACGAACGAAAAUAAAAACAUGUGGUCGACUCAUGCACGCGCCUAAGCCCAUUGUCCUCUGAUAGAGCACUUGCCAAAAGCGCUAAUGUGUUUCAGCCUGGGGCUGGAAUUACAUCAUUCAGCAUUUUCCCGCCUUCUGAGAGCCUAUGGGAGCCGUAGGAAGUGUCACGUUACAGCAAAGAUCCUCAGUCUUCAAUAAACAGAGUCAAGAAGCUCAAGGAAUGGUCAGACAGGCCACUUCCUGUAAGGAAUCUUCUCAGGUUUUUGCCUGCCAUAUGAGUUCUGUUAUACUCACAGACACCAUUCAAACAGUUUUAGAAACUUUAGGGUGUUUUCUAUCCAAAGCCAAUAAUUAUAUGCAUAUUCUAGUUACUGGGCAGGAGUAGUAACCAGAUUAAAUCGGGUACGUUUUUUAUCCGGCCGUGCAAAUACUGCCCCCUAUCCCCAACAGGUUAAUACUGGUAGUAGUGGAGGUGGUUGUGGUGGUGAUAGUGGAGGUGGUAGUAGUGGUGGAGGUGGUAGUAGAUGAGGUGGUAGUAGUGGUGGUGGCGGUAGUAGUGGAGGUGGUAGUAGUGGUGGUGGUGGUGGUGGUAAUAGUGGAGGUGGUAGUAGUGGAGGUGGUAGUAGUGGUGGUAGUAGUGGUGGUAGUAGUGGAGGUGGUAGUAGUGGUGAAAUCAGCUCUUUUUUUGUGGAUUUAAUACUUUUCUUUUUCGUGGUUUUCUAUGUUUUGCUCUGCCUGUCCCUCCUUUUCUGAGUUAUUGCAGACUCCUCCACUUGGCUGGUCUCCAUGGAGACUGAGUUGGCCCUGGUCUGCCAAACCUGGCCCUGAUUGAUUUAAUGACUUACCACACAGCUGAAAAAGGAUCGUUCAGCUUCAGUCUUGUCCUUUGCUUUAGGGAGAACAGCAAUGCCGAACCGCUGCUGCUGCCACUACCGUCACCGGGACCAUGUCACACCCAGCCACCGAUGAUGACCUGUAGCCAGAGGGGGGCCAAACGUUUGGUCGAGUGGUCGGAAAAACGUCUGUUCAGAACGGAUCCCUGCUCAUUGCAUGUGAAACCUGACACUUCAAGUCAGCUGACGGAGUGGUAGCAGGAGAGAGCAGACAGGCGGGGUUUUCCAGCACUAUAAGGCAUUGGACCCUACGACGUUCACAGGGCACUUUGUACACCCACAAUGUCAGUCACAACUGGGCCAGAACAGCUCAAAGUCCCCUAUAUAGGGGACUUAAACGUUUCAGUAAAGAACAUUUAAAAGAAAAAAGCUUUACAACCUUUUCUGUGUGUUGGCCUGGGAUUUGGAACGUGUUUUUUUUUUACACUUGAUGGCAGUAGACAUAUGCUUUGACAAAAUGUUUAAUGGUGGAUGCACAUCAAAGAAAAGUUCAACAAAACGGUGUCAGCUCAGCUGUCAACAGUGAAUCCAGAAGGCAUAGUACCAAUAUGAACCAGAUCAAACAGGACAGCGGGAGAUGAAUGAAUGAGGGAAUGAACUAAGGCCAGGGAGAGGUAAAUAAAUGUGGGAUGAGGUAAUGCACAAAAGGAUCAUUAUCAGGUUAAUACCAGAUUAAAUGGACAGAGAUGUAAAUACGGAGGUGAUCAGGAGCCGAUCAAUAUCUUCAUGCUUCCCUCCAGGACUAGCUUCCCUCCAGGACUAGCUUCCCUCCAGGACUAGUUUCCCUCCAGGACUAGUUUCCUUCCAGGAC